rnacentral:sRNA from 1 species
CCAAGAAGAGAAUACAUCGUCCACCAUACGGAAUUCCUCACUUCCAACUUCCCCGUGGGGUCUGGUCCCAGCUGUGAGCUAGGAGUAACAGGCAAGUUGCUCUACGGCACGGUUCCUACAGCUUUACAAGGAAAAUACGAUCCCUAGCAAGUUGUGUGUACGUGACCCAGUGGGGUUUCAAUCGGUGGUUAGGGCUCUGUUUAUUUUCUCCUGUUGAUCUCUAAUACAAACACAUACGAAGUACACAAUGUGACAGUCAACGGCUUCUCGUUUGACAAGGAACCCAUACUCGAGGAGCAAAGCCGCACUGACAAUCAUAUAUCGUAUUGGACACGAUCAAUUGCCUUGGUUGCACCCUUCAUGCCUCCUCCUCUCCAACAUUUCCAAACACGUUCUGUUUGAACUGUUGGACUGGAUCUACAUGAUAGUAAGAGAAAUUCGGCCGGCCGACCUGAUGGACCAAGUGAGAGCAAUCCUAGCUGGCUACUUUCGCUUCCGCAGCAACCGGACCUAUCGAAUCUGAAAACUGUAACGUCUAAAGAUGGCACACCUUUUUUAACUAUUAAAGAAGAACCCCGGUCUAACUUCCACAUGAUUUGCCUCGAUACCUGUCACCUGCCUACCUGUUCUUGCGCGAAAAAGAAUCCAAAUACGGAGUAAUAAUGCUUAUGAUCCAGAUUCUCCUCAUGUGGCCGAUCAACAGCAGAAUCCCUAGUCUACGAGACUAUGACAGCCUUAGCAUAUACUAAGCUAGGGUUAAUCGACAUAGCCGCCGAUCACAACGGGCGAAGAUGGCAGCGGGUGGUCAGGCUUCUGCAAAUUCCCACCAGACAAGGUCUCCCCGCCCUCUUCCCCAUUCUCAUUCAC